AUAAAGGUUUAGUUGAGUUGAGUAUAUGUUUGUUUUGUGAAUUUGUUCAAGUGAAGUUUCCAUAUGGUACAAUCUUUGGUGAAAGGGUUUACAUUUGUGUAGACAAAUCUGACCUGCAGACAGUAAUUAUGUCUGAUUGUGUAUCCCAUGUUAAUGUAAUAUAAUCUCAGAUUGACUAAUUGAUUCCAUGUGGAAUGAAAUAGUUACCACAACUCUUCCAGGGUUACAGAUUCAUCAGUCUCUUGUGUGUGUGUGUGUGUG
rnacentral:misc_RNA from 1 species